rnacentral:lncRNA from 1 species
CUUCGGCUUUUCCGAAGCAUCCCGAACUCAACUUCGAUCAAUUUCGAUCGAAGUUCGGAUUUCGCAUAUCGCGGAUCCACUUCCUUACAUCCUCCCCUCCUUAAAAAGAGUUUCGUCCUCGAAACAAACUCAAAUUUAAACAUAAUUCCCAACAAAACUCAUACCUUACUCCUCAAAAAGAUGAGGGUGAUGCACUUUCAUCAAAUCCUC